GUAUAUUUGUUAUCCCCAGUACCCGACAUUCUAAGACACGUUGUUAAAUGUAACAUAGACCUGGAAAUACAAGGCAAAGCCGUUCAGCAAAGCACGGCAGUCCUCAAAAAAACAACAUCCAGAUCUACAAUGUGUGCACAGUUGGAAGAAUAAAGAGGACAAGCGUGCACAUGUCAUCUCUGGAGAGGACCAGCAACAGCCUGUACAGGUUUAUUUCAAUAAUGAUCCUUCCGCAGGUUCACCUACGGAAA
rnacentral:misc_RNA from 1 species